ensembl:lncRNA
GAUCAGAAUGCACCUUUGUGUGAUGCAUUUCUUCCUUAAAUCUCAGUAACCAAGUAUGCAUUGAGUGACCUACACCUUUAAGGGGGAAAAUGGUCUCAGUCAAGCGCUGGAUGAAUAUAAAUAGUAAUAAUAAAAACCUUUCAGUAAGGAAAAGCUGAGCAUUCUUUUUGAAUGCAAACAUAAAAAUUAAUAAUAAUCAUAAUCAUAAUCUGUGGCACAGGACCCAAAGAGACCUUUUCCUCACAGUUUCACACAGCAGUUCUCUCAUCAGCUCUGAAACCAUCUACCUCUGCAACUCAGAAAGCUUUCUUUUUUUCUUUUCCUGAAAGUUCAAGGAUACGUUAUCCAUUUUCUGGGCAAGUUUAGAACUUUGGGUCUCACUUCUGCAUACACGGAUUCUUCUCUAAAGUCACUAAGACAGAACAAAACCCGAGACCCUCUUUGGACUGCAAAUCCAGAAGCAUUCGACCCUGCGGUUCUGCCAAGCAGUGUGAAACACCGUAUUUGUAUCCGCCUCACGGAGCUCCCGCCCGAGUUUUUUCUCCGCGCUGAGCAUCAGUCUGCAGUCCUCGGUAAUUCCGGUAGAGGGCAAUACAAUAAAGCCAUUCAUAGAGGGCUCUCCGAGGCAGCUGCCGUAACUGGCUCCCACAGAACGCCUCAGGCUUUCUUCUUGUUCUGGAUUGGUGUGCUAAUGCCAAAUAUUUACAAUUGAAUCUUUUUUUGAUCCCGGGAACGCUCAUACUGCUUAUUUCUUCUUUGACAGCACAAACGCACGGGCGCGUUCUCAGUGCCUGAAAACAUCUCUAUGCAAAAAUCAAGAUAUAACUCUCUUUGCUACCACUUUUUUUUUGUCUCAUCCUCAGCCAUCCGUUUGAAUGUAAACGUUACAGUAUACCUCACAUCCGUAAGGAGUCUUUACAUUCAGGUGUAGUUUUAAAAAGUCUCAUAGGAACCUCUUGCAGUCGAUUAAUGGGCACAUCGGAAGCAAAUCAACUGGAAGUACGGGAUGAGUGUUAUUUAAUUCUCCCUAGGGCUUUGCUAUUCACACACUCCUCUGUGCAGGUAGAUAUUCACGUGCGUAUGAAAGGAAAACUCACCUUCAAGGCGUAACAAAGGGAAACCCGCACUGGGAUCAUUUGUAGGAAAGCAUCAUUUCACAGUACAUAGGUUUAUGGAUUGUGAGAGAUAGUGAUGCAUUUGUAAGGAUGAUCCCUACGAUAAGGUUCUGUGGUUUUAUUUUCUCAAGUCUAGACGUAUUUAGUCAAUAAUGAUUUCUUCAAAAGAUAGCCACAUCUCCAAGACAAGAACAGAACGGCCACGUGGCAGAUUUCACACAACCUCACAACAGUACCAUGAACUAUACGGGAGUUUCAUAAUUCAUGAAGGAACAAUAUUCCCUCCCGGGCACUAAAACUAGUCCAGAUAACACCAAGAACAGCUGGUAAGUCGGACAGUGUGAUUUCCCCUCUCCUCAAGUAUAGAGAGACACAAGUAUGAAACAGCUGGAAAACAUAUUCAAAGGAUGACAGGCACCACGUCACAGCAGAAGUGCCAGGGUCUGCGGAUGGCUUGUGCGGUAACAAGAGAUUGCUGCUGCUGCUACAAGUGAAGAGUUCACAAUGAAAAGACAGCGCUUGGUAGCAUCUUCUUACAGAGAGAAAAGUAGCUGAAGCAUAAAUAUAUACACUAAUAGG